UAACAUGUUUUGUUUACAGUGUGUCUUCAUGACUCACGUAUAUCAUGUUUUGAAAUGUCAAGCUAAACUGUAACUUUUUACUAUCGAGCUAACACGGAUGGGAUAUUUAUAGCAUCAAGAUGAUACGCACGGGUAGCCAGAUAUUGGCGCAAUAACACAUUACCUGUCGUAUUUGAUGGUUUGAAGACAUACCUGUGUUUCUGUUCUCACUGUCUUAUUACAGAUUAUGCACUAGUCAUUCAGGGCUGUUCUCGUUUCCUCACGUUUUGGAGAGCAAAGAAAAGUGUUGACAUAGGAAGACAAAGGCAAACCAAUUGUAGUCUGUUUCACACUAAAUCAAUAGGUUACACAGUGAAUGCCUCAGACGCUGUAUGAGUCCUACAUUUCCUGGUACAGCGACUGUUGAAGCGUCCUCAUCAUCGUUUAGUUUUUGUGUUUAGCUGUGUGUUAUCUCAAUAUAUUUUGGUGCUGGAUAUGUUCUGGGAUUAUUUUUCCAAAUAUCCCAAUAGUAAAAAUAAUCAUUCAACUUUUUUUUAUUAUUUUAAACGUAUUAACGUUGAUAUAUUCAAGAGUUUGACAAUUCAAUAGAUAGAUUCUUAUUUAAAGUCAAAUUUGAAGUUGAUUUGAUUUUGAAAGUUUGAAUAUUAGUGAACAUUACUAAAGUUCUGUCAUCACAAUUUUUUUUAUUUUUUUUUUCCGAUGAAAAUAUUUGCUGUUGAUGGUCAAAGUUGGGGCAGUCAAAACAUAUAUUUCGGUGGAAUUUUUUAAAAGAAUAUUUCAACUAAAAUAUUAUUACAAAGU